GACGAACGCUGGCGGCGUGCUUAACACAUGCAAGUCGAACGGAAAGGCCCUGCUUGCAGGGUACUCGAGUGGCGAACGGGUGAGUAACACGUGGGUGAUCCGCCCUGCACUUCGGGAUAAGCCUGGGAAACUGGGUCUAAUACCGGAUAGGAGCCAUUUUUAGUGUGAUGGUUGGAAAGUUUUUUUCGGUGUAGGAUGAGCUCGCGGCCUAUCAGCUUGUUGGUGGGGUAAUGGCCUACCAAGGCGGCGACGGGUAGCCGGCCUGAGAGGGUGGACGGCCACAUUGGGACUGAGAUACGGCCCAGACUCCUACGGGAGGCAGCAGUGGGGAAUAUUGCACAAUGGGCGCAAGCCUGAUGCAGCGACGCCGCGUGGGGGAUGACGGCCUUCGGGUUGUAAACUCCUUUCGCUAGGGACGAAGCUUUUUGUGACGGUACCUAGAUAAGAAGCACCGGCUAACUACGUG
rnacentral:rRNA from 1 species